CGCCGACCGGGGACCCCUGGCGGCCGCCCGCGGAAUGGCAGCUCCGUGAAGUCAGGUCGCCUGGAGGCUCAUCUUGCCUCCCGCAGAGCUCCUCAGUACAUACCGAUUGGGGAGUACCAAAUGACUAGGUACUGGAUUUUACAAUUCUGACUACACACUUUAAAAAGAGAAACUAAAGCCACACACUGAGAUCCGACUCUGCCCUUGAAGAUCUGACUCACGGUCCAGAGUACCGAUGAGCAAGACAUGCACAUGGUGAAGAGGGCAUUCAGUUCUAAUCAAUAAAUAUUAAUGGAACCAUCUCUGCCUCUCUCCUUGUGUUUCAGCUUUGCCUGUGGGAGGAGAGAACUUUCAUCCCACUUCCAUCCCCUUAGUGGCGAUUUCCCCAGGGAGGAAUGGUAAGUCUUGUGACUGGGAGGGAGCCACCCAUAUUUCCUGGAUAAUUUUCAUCAGUGAGAGGGGUCAUUGUAGUGAAUAAUACCCCAGUUCUUGCCCACUCUCUCCUAGCUUCUCUGCCUGUGACCUCGUGUGCUGGAGAAGGAUGGGUCCACCUUCACACUGUGCUCGGAGGGGCCAGCAUUUAGAUUCAAGCCCUCCUUGGUCCUCCUGCAUCUUUGUGUGGUCAGGCUACUACAACAAAGUCUGGGGGCUUCCCAACAGCAGAAAGGGAUUUCUCACAGUUCUGGAGGCUGAGAAGUCCAAGAUAAGUUGCCAGCAGAUUCAGUGUUUGGUGAGGGCUUGCUUUCUCUUAGACAAUUUUUCACUGUGUCCUCACAACGCAAAAGGGGGCAGGAAGCUUUCUCAGGCCUCUUUUAUAAAGACACUAACCCCAUUCAUAAGGCAUCCUCCCUCAUGACUGAUCACCACACAGAAGCUCCAUCUCCCAAUACCAUCACACUGGG